rnacentral:rRNA from 1 species
UACGGAGGGGGCUAGCGUUGUUCGGAAUUACUGGGCGUAAAGCGCACGUAGGCGGCUUUGUAAGUUAGAGGUGAAAGCCCGGGGCUCAACUCCGGAAUUGCCUUUAAGACUGCAUCGCUAGAAUUGUGGAGAGGUAAGUGGAAUUCCGAGUGUAGAGGUGAAAUUCGUAGAUAUUCGGAAGAACACCAGUGGCGAAGGCGACUUACUGGACUGUAACUGACGCUGAGGCAUGAAAGCGUGGGGAGCAAACAGG